ACGGUGGGGCGGGGGGGAGCUCCAGCCCCGCCCGCAACGGCCGCGGCGCGAGAGGAGCCCGCAGGCGGCCGUUGGGCAGCGGGAGGAGCCGCCAAGCGUGGGCUGUGAGGGGCGGGGGGACGCGGAGCGGCGUUAUUCGGCAGCCUGGUUUGGCACGAGGAGGUUCGCGCCUCUCCUUUGGAGAAGAGGGCUGGCUGGCUGGCUGGCUGACAUCCCCCGAACUGCGGGAGGCUGGCGGCCGGCAGCCGCCUUCACACCGAAGCCAGACUCUGGCCCCGAAGCACCUAUUGCCUCACCCGGCCCUUAGGCAGCGGAGCGCCUCUUAACCUUUCAACUCUCCCUGCCAGCCGCAAGCGUUGCAGUAAGCGUUCUCCGGAGAGAACACCGCGAAACUGCCCAGGCAGCACACGUUGUAAAUGCUAGUGCCUGGAGGAGCCAGUCAGGACUACAGACUUGUUGCUGUGGACAUUGGUUCCAGAUUCACGCCUGGAUAGACUGAUGGAGCACGUGUCACAUGGCUGAAUCAUUGACACUGCCAAUGCUUUGUAGACUGAGUCAUGCUGAUUGUCAGCAAGGGGAACGAGGAAGAGAGACUGAGAGUGAUCCUACUCCUGAGAGCUUUUGGCUGAAAAGUAAGAGUUUAAACUUCAGAAUAAUGUAGCUGACUUUGCUUUAAAUAGAACAGGGAGCUACUUUGCUGGCAUCUCAGCGAGACAGUAGCAAAAUGAAGCUGCAACAACCUGAAAGGCAGAAGACCUCAGAGCUGGUGUCAGUGCUUGAGACCAUUCCCAGGGCAAAGCUGGAAGUUUCUGAGCACUCACUACAUUGUCUCUGGAGGGCUUUAGGCCUGGUAUGGCUCAGUGAUGGUGCUGAGUUAUCUGUCAGCUUGGGGGCGGGGUUGGUUGCUGAGGUAACUGAUUUCCCAAAUACAAAACUGGCUUGGAAGCAAGAGGGUAAAGUGAAAAUCCAAUAGGAAUCCCAAUGAAGAGAAAGUAGGUAGCUUGAACCAGUUCAGACAGGAGGGUGGCCAGAGGCCCUGCUCUUGGAGUACAGAUGUGCAAAGAAGCACCUGACAGUCAUUCUGAGAUAGCUACAGGAGAUCUGUAGUAUAGCAGUAAAUACGCACAAUACCCAGAAAUGUGGGAUAUGAUUGCCUAUUCAAAAGUUUCGAAAAAAUCUAUAUCAGCGGAUCUAAUUUAUGUCAACAAAAAUGUAAAUUAAGAUGUAAAUUUAAGACCUCUGCCUACCUUAACAAAGAUUUACAGUCCUAUGAAACCUAUACCUGGGAUGAAAAUGUUAACCACGCUGUAAUUCCCCAAGUCAUGCAUAUGCUCUUAUUGUUUUACAGGAAGGUCCUUCCUCAGCUUAAUUUAUAUCACUUGGGAAGGAAAUCAAGAUAACAAAAUUGUGUAUACAACUGUGCUGAUGUAACAAAUAGACAAAUCCUAAGUACACAUGGUCUUUUUACCACCUUUCACUGAUUUGUUUAAAGAUACUAUAAAAAUAAUUUAUGAACAUUGUUCCAAGAAGUUGACUUUAAUGUAAUUAAAGCACAUCUAACUUCAUUCAUCUAUAUGGAUGCAAUGUUCAUAUAUAAACUUUUAACAGAGUUUUAACAGAGUUAAGAAUUUGUAAAGGAGUCCACUUUUCCUCAGUUCUCUUAACUAUGGUUUUGCAGGAGUACAAUAAAAAAUGCUUGGAGUACUGUGUAGAUUAAGCAGUAUCUGUCAGAAAUUAAACCUCUAAUAUUUAUGUGAUCAUGAUUAUAUCCAAAUUACACUUUAAAUCAAAUAAACCCUUUGCAUGGAAUGGGGUUUGUGUAUUUUGAUGAGCUUAUACCUCAUAUUUUCGUUAGUUGUAGUAAAAACCUUGAGGAUGUAACUGGUGAAUAAGCAUCUGCAUGGAAGGCAAGUUAGGAUGGAAUGUGCUGAUAAAAGCGAACAGAGAAAUGUCACCAAGUGAGAUGCAUAGAAAUAAGCACUUAUUUGCAGCUGGAUAGUCCUGGUUGUGUGCAUGAAGGAUUAGAAAUAUCUUGGCACCAGAGCCACAGGUAAUGAAAGCUUUUGUUUGUAAAAGUCAGUGCUCAAGGACAAAAGAUGAAAACCAACUUAAACAGCAAGCGAGAGCCAAACUUAUAAGAAUUAGAUUGUUUUGAGUCUGAACUUGGGAAUCAUAACCAUUUGGAUUGUUUUCUCUCCUGAUAGUUUCUUUAUAUGAAGGUAUGUUUGUUAACUCCUAUUGUACAUUUUAUGUACAUACUGUAUCUAUGUACAUACAAAUGUACAAAAUACACCUUUUAAGUCAGACAAUUUCCAUUUUUAGUGGUGUGUAUGUAUCUUAUUGCUGCUCAAUUAAUUAGAAACAGUAAAAUAGAUAGCUAUGAUGUUUCUAUUCCAAAAGUUAAAAAUAAAGGCCAGAUUCUCCUUUCUGAUGCAGCUUUUGCUCCUCUUAAAUAGUUCAGAGAUCACCUUAAAUAGCUUGCUACAUUUUUUUCCCCACCACAUUCUCCAAUGGUGUAUAUGAAACAGGGAAGGAAGCUUUUCUGGUUAGUCUGCUCAUACCCUGUAGUCGAAUUCUCCUGAUCUGGCCUGUAAGGCUCUUCCAGUAACUAACUAUUCAUUAUGACUGGGCUGAUAACCACACAACAAUGAACAAAUGCAUAACUAUUUGCAACCACACACAGAGUUAGUUUUUAAGAAAUAUAUACCAGGUCAUCAUUAAACCAGUAUUCCGCAACAGAAAAUAAUUAAAAUUCAGGGCAACAUCAAAGGGGCAGAAUGUCAAAAUCGAAACAUUUUAGAAAAGCUGCUAACAUUCUGAGAAAUUAAUUGCUAUACGUGUUUUCCUAUGGGAAAUUAUUAAAUUAAUUGAAAAAGCUAUAAUAUGACUGAUAAUACUUACUAUCAUGAUAAAUGAGCAUCACAGAGUCAGUUGUUAAUCAGAAUUAGAGAUUAAAUGGGGAUGGGCUCGUAAGUAUAGACUGUUUUCACCUAAGGCAGUUCUUUGAAAGAAACCUCUUCAUUUUAAUCUUGAACAUUAUGCACCCAGUCCUAGACACGUUUCCUGUUGAAUGGCUUGGCUGAAUGCAGAAAGUCAGAUCUACAAAUGUCUGUGAUGAGGAAAUUCACACACUUUUUCUACCGCACACAACAGUAGGUCCUUUUUGCCCAUACACAGACAACAGAAUUAGCUUUUAGGCCCACUUCCCUCAACAGAAUUGGCUAAAACCAAUGACUGCAGAAAAUAAAUGUCAGAUGCUUGUAUAAAACUUACUAUUAAUUAAUAUUAUUUAAGAAUUUCUGAAUAAGCAAGGCUAGUAGAGAAAAAAAUGAAUGCACAGGAAGGUUGAUAAGGGGUUUUAUAAGAACUAAAAAAGCUGGUAUGUUAUUAUUCUGUAGUAAUCUUAUUGUAGCUGAACCAGCAUGUUUGCCUUUUAUGUAGAAUUACUUGCUGUACUGGUGAUACAAUUAAUGCAAAUACUUUAAUAAGCUUUCAGCUUGAUUUAGCUGUAGCAAUUCCUUAUUUUAUCAUGUCACCCCAGCAGAAAUAUGAAUCCAAAUUCAUUUUACAUUCUGAAGAAAUUUUCACAUGCAUUUCACAUUCUGGUCAGGAAACGCCAGGGGUUGAACAGCAGAAUCCUGGCCAGCUGGAACCAAGGUAUAUGAGGAGUGCUCAAGGAGGAAGCUGACAUAGCUCUUAUUAUCCCGAGAACAUGAUGUUGGCCUGCAUGCACCAUUCACAUGCCUUCAGAAAGUGAAAUGAAGGGCAAGUUUUCCACUUUGUUACUUCACAAAACACGUGGAAAAGUUAUAGAGACUUGUGCAGCCAAAGACGGGUACUGGCAAUAUGGUUCUUGUGUUUCCACACACACUCCCUACUUUGCUGUUGCAGCUACUGGAAUUAGCAUGCAGGAAUCCUGAGGUGUGUUUGUCCCAAACGCCAUGCUAACAGCUAAUUUUAAUCUAGCUGUGGGCUACCAAGAUCCUGGAAGCCACUGGAGUAUGAAUUUCUGGGUCAGCUCUGUACUAAGCUAGCCUCAAAUAAUGGUAAUACAUCUGGGCUGCUGCUCAUGCAGAAGCUAAGAUAAAGCUAUGUGUCCUUUGUGUUCAUAUGUCACAGGCAGAGAGAUACCCAGCCACAGUAUGCACGCACCCCAGCUCCCUCACCUAUUAUUCCAUAUGCAGUUAUUGGUGCAGCAAUGGUGCCAGUCAUCAAGAUAUGCAUACACAUGCCCACAGGUAGAGUAUAAAGUUGAAUGAUAACAUUUUCAUCUCCAGUUUUAGCAUCUGUUUUUUUCUAACAACUUACAUACAAAAUAAGUCCUGUGUUUACCCUUCCUCAACAAUAUUAAGCCUUUUGGUAAAGAAGAAAAUACUAGUACUUAAAACAAUAUAGCCCAACAGAAAACAUACACAUUCCAUUUAGAUAUCGAUACCAAAUUGUAAAGACUUGCAAAGAAUAAACACGAGUCACCUCCACAAAAGUGCUAAUCAGUGAUUCAACAAUUUAGAAAAGAUAAUACCUAAAACACAAGCAAAAGAAGGAAAUUAAAAUAAAUUGGCCUUAUAACUAAAAAUUGUAUUUUUAAUACACUAAAAUUCUGAUACUUAUCUUUGCUGUAUCUAGGAAAUACACCUUUCAUAUAUCUCCACACCUUUCAACCCCUAUAUUGUUGUGGUUUUUUUUCCUCCUUUUAACAUAAGCAGCUAUCUAAGGUUUAGGGUCUUUAGAGCUAUUUCUAAUAGAAAAUUUAGUGAAGGAGUAAUGUACUUUAUGAAAUCCUAUUUAUUUAUAAAAUACAUAUCAAAAGUUGUGCUUUGCUUAGUGUAGCAGGAAUCAAAUAGAAAGGGUAGUAUGUUUCUUUUAGUACUUGUAGAUACUAUUUCCAGCUUGUCUUCUGCUCACAAACUCUGUAUCCAAUCUUAGUUUUAUUCCUAAUCAGCUCUAAGUGCUUCCCUGCUGAUCUCUGGAUAUUUCUUUGAUGCCUUUUUAUGCUUCCCCUCAAACACAGAACUCAACAAGCAGCAGUAUCCUUUGCUUGCAGUCCCACCCAAAGAAAUGCACUUGGUCAUGUAGUUCUGAUUCUUCAGCUGCCCUGCAUGGGAUCUGUGGUUUUAAUGCAGUUCUGGUUAUUUCAGCUAUAUGUUCCACAAAGGAACAGAACUAGAUUUACAUUUUUUUUCUGCCUGAAAAGUUUCUAUCUAUCUGCUUCCUCUGCAUUAUGCAGAAAUCUCAUAACUGUAGUCUCCAUUUACUUUACUUUUCUAGAAGAAAAAAUGUGUAUAUAUCGAAUGGGGAAAGGAACAGAAAGAGUACCAGUGCUGCUGAUGAUAUCAGUGCUGCUGAUGACAUCAGUGCUGCUCACCAUCUGUGGAAAACUGCAUAGUCUAAAUAUCUACUGACAAUUUAAGGUGCUUCAGAAUACUGAGCUUCCAAUGCACUGACCCGGCUUGUGGUGUCACCUCACAUUAGCAUUAGGAAUUGAUGGUCAAGGCAGGCACACCUGGCUGCCUGGACUUGAGAAACUCUUCAUGGGCAAUUACAUCUGCCACCAAGGAGCCAUACUGGCAUGCUUCGAAAUACUGAUGUGUUUUGGAGCGAACAGCCUAGAAUUACACAGACCAGAAUGAGUUAAUAAACUGAAUAUUAUGUUACUAGAUUACUAAAAUUAUUAAUGCGUGUAUGUUGUUCUCUGCAAAUGAAAAGCUUCUCCUAAGUGCUAAGAAUUUAUUCUGGGUGUAUUUUUAAUAUAAUAAAAUCCUAGUCCUGUUUUACUCUACUCAUUGUUACUUAAUCAAUUUUAAUGGAAUGAAUAUGAUUAUAGAGAUUAAAAUUUAUCUAAACAGGACUAACUUGAACUCUGUCUUAUUAAACAGGAAGAAAUAUACUUCGAUAAAUGUACAUAUAGCUUACAUAAGCUUCAGUUGAACAUAUAUUACUAACAGUACCACUAAAGUUAUAGCUUAAAUGUACUUUUUUACUCUCAGAGAACUUCAGAUUUUUUUUGCCUGUCCCCUGGCUGAACAUCUUUAGUUAUUUCUGAGCAAUUUCAGUUGAUCGCUGUGCCUGAGAUGUAAAAGCUGCAAUAGUAAGUUUGUGUUUUCAAAAUUAGCUUCCACUUGAACACUAAUAAAUCAUAGAUGUAAAUCCCCUAUCCUUAGAUUUUCUAGAAAUUUGUUUCCUCAAAAUUUAAAGUCUGCAUUACAAUUUAACCUACAAGUGUCCAUUUUAGGCACAAUCAUAAAAAGAUUAGUUGAGCUUGGAGUCCUGCUUAAGGGACAGGAAGGAAAGGACAUACUAGUUUUCUUGCAAGAAUAAAAUAAAACAAAGCACAUAGUGCAUUCAAAGAAAAAGCAUUCCUGGAGAGCACUGUGAUCACAGUCAUUCUGAAGACCCAUUAUGUUCACUUGCAACAAUUCUGUGAUCUUCAGUAUGUGUUCUCAUUUCAAAAUAACACAGCACAGUCCAUUUAAUGCAUUUCUAACUUCUGUGGUUUUGGAACUGAAUUAAAAACAUGAAAGGAGCAUAAACUGUUAGUGCCAUCUUACCAGCUUUCACAGGCAGCGGUUACUAACUCUUGUUCUUCUCCACAGGGUAUCACAGAUCCACCGUUCUGCAGCUUUUGAGUUUGCCUUGGGGGUGAAGCCAACACCCAGCUGCCUAAAGGAGAUUGAAGGGAGCUGCACAACCACACGAAUGGUAUGCCAUGGCAUUCUGCUCUCCCAGCUGGAGCUGACCUCAGAGCAGGGACUUUGGAAGGAACCUCCCUUACACUGCCCACCACAUCUCUGCUUUGUUUAAUCAUUACAGUAGUGACUGGCAUACAGUAAUCAAGACUCCUCAACUUUUGUCUUAAACCUAACUUUGACAUUUCAAAUAUGUCUCUGUUUUCUUCAGCUCAUACUAUUUUAACGGGUAUUUGAUGUAAUCCAGUUUGUAAAUACUUAACAAAUAUAAAUACUUGAACUACUCUCUG